UAGGGAAUAUUGCACAAUGGGCGAAAGCCUGAUGCAGCAACGCCGCGUGUGUGAUGAAGGCCUUCGGGUCGUAAAGCACUUUUCUGGGAGAUGAGAAAGGACAGUAUCCCAGGAAUAAGUCUCGGCUAACUACGUGCCAGCAGCCGCGGUAAAACGUAGGAGGCAAGCGUUAUCCGGAUUCACUGGGCGUAAAGCGCGUGCAGGCGGUGCGGUAAGUUGGGCGUGAAAUCUCCCGGCUCAACUGGGAGAGGUCGUCCAAUACUACCGUACUUGAGAGCAGAAGAGGAAGAUGGAAUUCCCGGUGUAGUGGUGAAAUGCGUAGAUAUCGGGAGGAACACCAGUGGCGAAGGCGAUCUUCUGGUCUGUUCUGACGCUCAGACGCGACAGCUAGGGUAGUAAACGGGAUUAGAGACCCCGGUAAUCCUAGCCGUAAACGAUGUGAACUUGGCGUUGGUGGGUUAAACUCC
rnacentral:rRNA from 1 species